rnacentral:rRNA from 1 species
AUGACGUCAAGUCAUCAUCGGCCCUUACGGCCGUGGGCUACACACGUGCUACAAUGGUCGGUACAAAGGGUUGCCAAGCCGCGAGGUGGAGCUAAUCCCAUAAAACCGAUCGUAGUCCGGAUCGCAGUCUGCAACUCGACUGCGUGAAGUCGGAAUCGCUAGUAAUCGUGAAUCAGAAUGUCACGGUGAAUACGUUCCCGGGCCUU